rnacentral:rRNA from 1 species
UACGUAGGGUGCAAGCGUUAUCCGGAAUUAUUGGGCGUAAAGAGCUCGUAGGCGGUUUGUCGCGUCUGCUGUGAAAACCGGAGGCUCAACCUCCGGCCUGCAGUGGGUACGGGCAAACUAGAGUGCGGUAGGGGAGAUUGGAAUUCCUGGUGUAGCGGUGGAAUGCGCAGAUAUCAGGAGGAACACCGAUGGCGAAGGCAGAUCUCUGGGCCGUAACUGACGCUGAGGAGCGAAAGCGUGGGGAGCAACAGG